UACAGAGGGGGCGAGCGUUGUUCGGAAUUACUGGGCGUAAAGGGCGCGUAGGCGGCCUCUUAAGUCAGACGUGAAAUCCCCCGGCUCAACCGGGGAACUGCGUCUGAGACUGGGAGGCUCGAAUCCGGGAGAGGGAUGUGGAAUUCCAGGGGUAGCGGUGAAAUGCGUAGAUAUCUGGAGGAACACCGGUGGCGAAGGCGGCAUCCUGGACCGGCAUUGACGCUGAGGCGCGAAAGCCAGGGGAGCAAACGGG
rnacentral:rRNA from 1 species